rnacentral:ncRNA from 1 species
UAGAUUGCACUGAAGGAGAAUAGUACUAAUUUAACUGCUUUCAAGCGAGUUCAGGUAGGUGUAAGCUGAGCAAGUAAGAAAUUAGGAAGGCGCUCCAGAGCAAUUACGUGAAUGAAAGUGGUCAUCUUGUAACUGAUGACAAAUAGGGUGGAACCGCGGGAGAAAACCCGUCCCUAUG